UCCCCGAGCAUGCACGAGGACUACAACCACCUUAAGGUCCUCUCUUGCAAAAAGUUUAGAAGGUUGGUUGUAGAUGCAUAUGUUUAUCACAAACAUUGCAAGUUUCGUGAAUGCACUUUGGCACUAACCUUGCACCUAAAGCUUCAAUGGCACAUCACCAAUUGGUGGUGGGAGGGAAACAAGAUCACCAAUGAUAGCUGCAAGAGGAUGUUCCCAUGGUCGAGCUUGUGACCAUAAACAAAGCACUUCCGAGAGAUAGCCCGGAUGAUCAUUUAUUUUUCCCUUAGAAUAAAAAGCAAGAGCAUGUUUCUAGGAUAAAGUUUUCCUUCAGGUAUUUUUAGUCGCUAACCAUUUCAGGUGGAUAUCAAAAAGAAUGAUGGAUAGGUGAUGCCUAAGAACAUGGAAGCUACAUUGACUACAACACCUUGGUUAAGUUUGGUGAAGGAACAAUUUCGAAAGGAAGCUUGAACUCCACACACUUGAGUUUUGUUGCUUAGCAAUCCAAAAUCCAUGUGUGGGGGAGGUAUGUGAGUAUCUCGAGUAAGUUUCUUUCAAGCCAAAUCUUAUCUUGGUUUGGAGAUGGUGUUGGUUCUUGCAUCUUGCCCCACUAAAAAAAAGACAAAAUAAAAUAAAAAUAAAAGGAGGAGUUACCAUGGCGUCAAUUCAGAAUUCUUCAUCACUUAAAAUGCCAUGGUAAGUACCUUCAAGUAUGUCCUGCUUUUGACUUUAAACAAUGCCUUUCCGGAAGGUAGCCUGAGGUUCAGCAAUCUUAUUAUCGUGUUUAUCUCCUCUUAAAAAUAGCUUGAUCAUGCUCUUGUGAUUCCUUUAUCUGUGCUCGUCUGCUUUGGUUUCA
rnacentral:lncRNA from 1 species